GCCCGUGUAGCUCAGUUGGGAGAGCGCUGCGUUCACACCGCAGAGGUUCCCAGGUUCGAAUCCUGGCGCGGGCAC
rnacentral:tRNA from 1 species